CCAGGACAUUCCCCAGCCGCGGGGUCUGGAAGCGGAGAACGUCCGAGCAGCCGCGGGGGAGUUGCCGCCGGGUGUUUUGACUUCAGCGGACGGGCUGUGUUUAAAAAAGCCCCCACCUUUCUAUCAUCCCCGUCUCCCGCCGCGGUCGGGAGAGCGGGCCCGGCCCGGGGAGGGGAAGGCCAAGAAGGAGCCCCCAGGUCCGGCUGGAGGGUGCGGCGGCAGCCGCAGGGACCCGCUUACGCGGAGCCGCCGGGGGAGCGGGGCUGGGCCGUGCGCGGCGGAGCGCCCUGGGCCAGCGGUGCCCCGACGGAGUGGGCAGGGCAGCCCCGGCCCGGCCGGGCGCAGCCGUCUCCGGGCGCAGCCGGGGCUUUCGCCCUGUGCGUGAGGCCAUUCUGGUUCAGCGCUCGCAGCUCGGCGCUGGGCCGCCCCGGGCCGGGCUCCCGCUGGGCGCGCAGACGAGCCCACUGAGGCGGCGCCAUUUUCCCGACGGCGCGGUGCCGGGCCUGGCCAGCCGCGGGGCCUCGGGCGUUUUCCAGAAGGAGAACGGUCUCCGAGGGGUGACCGAGCUGAAGGAAACCGGGCCCGGGUGCAGCAGCGGGUGCAGCUCGAAGCCCAAUAAGUUCUGCGGGAAGAGGCCGUUUGGAGCAGAUGGAGAUGGAGCCCUGGCCGGAGCGGGGUGAAGGCUGCUCAGGUUCCAUUGUGAAAAAGGCCCAGAAAGUGAAGGCUUUAUUCUUCCAUACUCAAGAAAAAUGUCUAUUCAAGUCAUGGAGUAGUUUGAUUGAAUGAGGGCAGUGAAACUCUUCCACGGUGGAAGUUUUUUAAAAAAGAGAGUUCCACAGAUGGGCAUUUACAGCCCCCGUGUAAAUCCCACUGAAGUGGGAGGCUGGCGCAGUUCUGCUCACCAGAGGAAUCAUGAUGCAGAACAGGGCAGUUACAUGUUCUGAGGUGGCUGCGCUACUCACAUGGGACACCUGGGUACUGCCCGGCUCUGCCCUGCAGGUCCACAGGUGCCAUCGCCUCUUCUCCAGCGUCAGUGGGUUGUGAAUCACGCACACGCAGCAGAGAAAGAACCACCCACCGCAGCCUGCGAGCAGCACGACGUUUCAGCUGGAUGACUGCGCAAGGGGCUCUGAGCUGAACAGCUGCUCCCUGAGGACUUCCUAGAAAGGAACGCAGGCGAAAUUUAGCCACUGAAUUCCGAGCUGAAGUCUUCAAAGUUCUUUAACCCUAUGUUUGACUCAGGGGGCCCUCAAGAGCUUCCACAUUGGUACCUCAAGUGUUGGCCACCAGAGCUCUCCCAGCACCUGAAAUGAAACUUUUGCUGCUGGAACACACUUAAGUCUAGACAGAACUUGAGUGCCUUGGUGUGUCACCCCACAUGAGCCUGACAGAUCCCCACAAUAUUCAUAAACCUUUUUCUCCUAUGGCAAGAGAGUAACCUGCCACGGGCUGGACCCACCAACCAUACUCCAAGGAGAUGAAGCCAUCAGUUGUGAGAACAGCUGGGGAGCGGCCUGUUGUGUCCGAUUUCCUCUGCCUGCCCAGGAGAGCAGCCCAGCAGCAGCCAUGCUGUGCGCUGCUGUUCCAGGUGGGUAACGUGGUACGGGAUGGUUUGAGCAAACGGGGACUGUGUUGUGACAACUGAUGGGAGACACUGCUCGGGUUUUGUGCUCUUACUGAUGCCAAGGCACUGCAGGAACUAGGGCAGAUCUUCACUGCAGAGGGAAAAAAACAACCUUGUGUGGCUGGCUGAAGUUUGCCACUGUUGUCUGGCUUGUUUAGAGGAUACAUUCCCCUGACCCUGCUUUUGGAGGCGGGGUCACAGAAUCCCAGCCUGGUUGGGUUGCAGAACCUCUGUAGAUCCCCAGCCCAGCCCUGCUCACACAGAGUCACCAGAGCAGGUCACACAGGUGGGUCCAGGCGGUCUGAACGUCUCAGAGCAGGAGACUCCACACCCGCUCUGGGCAGCCUGGGCCAGGCUCUGGCACCUCCCAGCAAACAAGUUUCUGCUCAUGUUCAGAUGGAGCCUCCUGUGUUUCAGUCUGUGCCCGUUGCCCCUCACCCUGGCGUUGGGCACCACUGAGCAGAGUCUGGUCCAUCCUCUGACACCCACCCUGAGAUAUCGAUCCAUUGAUCAGAUCCCUCUCAGCUUCUCUUCUCCAGCUCAACAGCCCCAGCUCUCUCAGUGUCUCCUCAUCAGCCGAGUGUGUCUCCAGAACAGCUCUGCCUCCCUCCUGGGCUCUUGUGCUCCAGUCUUACCUGGGUCUGAGCAGAAACAGGAGGCAGCGAAUGACUGGACAUGUUCUCCUCAGCCGACACUCUCUGGUUACAACGUGGUGCGGCCUCCUGAAGAAAUUCAAGUUCUGUGUUCCUGUACAGGCACAAAUCUGACUGUUCCCCCAGAAUGAUACAAUUUGUGUGGUUGUCAUCAAAGCCAGCAUGUAUUCAUUUGUGGGAGCGUGUCGGACACCAUAUGUCAGUGAGACGCCUUUGAUAUGUUGGUGUCCGAAUCAUUUUUAUUAAGAGCUGAAUGGCAUAAGUUUACACGUAAACAUCUGUUCUAUGUACUGUCUGUAUUCCUUAUACUUUCUCUUGACUAAGAAUUUGAUUGAAACCCAGGAAAAGUGUGGGAUUUUUUUUUUUUUCUCUUUUGGUAACCAGGCAAAAUAAAAAUUUGAUUUUACUAGAAGUUUGUUAAAUGAGAAGACUAUUGGUUUAGUGUUGGGCAGGCUUCAUACUGCAUGGAUUUACUGAAAAUGAACCAUGUAAGAGCAGCGUGUUAAACCAUGACAGUAAAUUGGUUUCAUCCAGAAACUUUUCUGAUGCAGUUAAAGAACUUGAAGUCUAAAAAAUGACUUAAUAAAGGAAUGAAAUAAUA